AUUGCUUCUCUGCCUUUUGGAUAAGAUCUAGUGUUGCAUUUGUUCUUAUCAGUUUAAUAUCUGACACAUCGCCUAUCUGAGGACCAUAUAUUAAACUGAUUUUUGGAACAAGAAGAUGGAAUAGAGGCUUGCUCUGACCAUUCCACGCAUCAACCUAGUAUUGUAAUUAUCUAUUUCACUUGAGCUCUAUAU